AAGGAUCAUUAAUGAAAGCUCAAGCGAGGUUGUAGCUGGGCCCCCUGGGGGCAAUGUGCACGCUUCGUCUCUGUCUUCAUCUUCUCUCACCCCCUUGUGCACCUCUGCGUGUGUCCUGAGUGUUUGUUCACUCGGGCUCACGUCCUUUUAUACAACAAAAACCACAUCGCAUGUAUCAGAACGUCUAAAUAAAUAAGAACCUUAUAUAACUUUCAACAACGGAUCUCUUGGCUCUCGCAUCGAUGAAGAACGCAGCGAAAUGCGAUAAGUAAUGUGAAUUGCAGAAUUCAGUGAAUCAUCGAAUCUUUGAACGCACCUUGCGCCUCUUGGUAUUCCGAGGGGCACACCUGUUUGAGUAUCAUGAAAUCAUCAACCCUGACUCCUUUUGUAAAAGAAAAGGGGGGAAGGGCUUGGACUUGGAGGUCUCUGCCGGUUCCAUAGGAAUUGGCUCCUCUUGAAUGCAUCAGUAGAGCUUUUUAUUCCUCUUUCUCUGCCUCUUGGCGUGAUAAUUCAUCCGUGCUGACGUGCAAGAGAGGAAAGUGCCCUGCUUCUAACCACCUUUCUGAACCCUUUGAUCUCAAAUCAGGUGGGACUACCCGCUGAACUUAA
rnacentral:rRNA from 1 species